CACCGCUACAUGCCGGAACCGUUUGAUUUACUUAUCUCGAGUUCUCGACCCAGGAUGGGCUCGCCGUGUUUGCUAGCUCUGGGUGCCGGCUGCCGAGGGCGGAGGGACUGUGCCCUAGCGGUGCAUCCUCUUCGUCGUGGUGUCAAUGAAGGGCGCACACACUGUGUUUGACGACGACCCCGCUCCUGACCUGCUGUGCAUACCCUGCUUGUAAGAGAGGACCUUUUUAUGUCUAAUUAUUUUCCUGGGAGUUCCUAUGCUGGCAAAGUGGUGAGAUGCAUUCACAUUGGAAAAUUGUAUUGGUCAAAACUCAAAUUGAAGUAGCAGGCUCUGAUCCUCACUGCUUAGCUUUUCUAGAGAGGGUCAAAACUCAAAAGAUCUUUUGUUUUGGAACAUUUGUGUAUUUGGUGAAACCCUGGACAGAAGACCCAAUCCCGAGCUUCAUUUCCAGUUUAGCAGUGGCCGUGUGCGGGAAUGUUGCUUCUUUGAAAGGAUAUGGGGGCAGUAGAAGGUUAAGGAAAAUUUUGCUUUGGGAGAACGCAAAGAGAGAAAAGGGAUGCAAACAGAAGUCUGCUGGCCUGGUACAGUAUUUAACUUCUUGGUUGAUGUUGUUUGUCUAAACCAGCUUACAUGCAGGAUUACUUUUUUUUUCUCUACUGAAGGAGUUAUAAUUAUACUCCGCGGUGUUGCUGCGUUUCAGUUUAAUAGCACCAUAUUCUGUCUUAGGAUUCAGUUCUGUACCUGUUACAUUUAGCAUUUCAACUUGACAACAAGCAUUGCCGAGACAAAGGCUUGAUAAAUAUUGGUUUCUGUGUUGCCAUUUGUUAGGAAUUUAAACAUGACUUACGGCCUAAUAAAGAAAAGAUGCAGGAAGCAGGAGGGAAGAUGACUUUCCCAGUCACACGAUCACUUGUAUUCACAAAAAUGCAGCUUGCCUAUUUGCUUCCUCAGUGUUGGGCAUGCUAUUCCAAUUAACUGAGUAUGGCAUUAUGUGAGCUCAGGUUUUUCUUUUGAAGCAACGAGCCACGUCGUCGAUUUCCAUUAGAGAAACCGACACAUAGACUUGUGCGCCUGAGAUUAGAUGGCUGGUAACCCGUCCAAUUUUGCUUCGGAUCCAGAAACCAGUAUGAAGGCACGACGGCUGUGCGGCCUCUGCCUCCCGGGAGCCUCUACUUCCCACUUGGAAAGAGAGACAGGUGGCGUCUCGGAAUAGUAGACGCACAUUGGUUGAAAAAUGGAACCUUGAACCGGACCAAACAGGAAGCAGAGAGGGAGAAGAGGAAGAAGCCGGAGGCGAAAGGGAUGGGUGGGCAGAGCCGCAGAGAGAGCAAUCCCCAAAAGCUACCCUCUUCUUUCUCCUCCACAGAACUCGAUUGCCAGGCAUCUUUACUCUGUGCUGCACCUCUUUUCUCCCGUGGACUUGGCCCAUGGACCAUGCUUGUGGCAAUUUUAUUCUCUUUUCUUUUUGAAUUACUGAUAUAGUAGCAGU